AUUGAACGCUGGCGGCAUGCUUUACACAUGCAAGUCGAACGGUAACAGGCCGCAAGGUGCUGACGAGUGGCGAACGGGUGAGUAAUGCAUCGGAACGUGCACAGUCGUGGGGGAUAACUACUCGAAAGAGUAGCUAAUACCGCAUACGAUCUAUGGAUGAAAGCGGGGGACCGUAAGGCCUCGCGCGAUUGGAGCGGCCGAUGUCAGAUUAGGUAGUUGGUGGGGUAAAGGCUCACCAAGCCAACGAUCUGUAGCUGGUCUGAGAGGACGACCAGCCACACUGGGACUGAGACACGGCCCAGACUCCUACGGGAGGCAGCAGUGGGGAAUUUUGGACAAUGGGCGCAAGCCUGAUCCAGCAAUGCCGCGUGCAGGAAGAAGGCCUUCGGGUUGUAAACUGCUUUUGUACGGAACGAAACGGCUCUGGUUAAUACCCGGGGCUAAUGACGGUACCGUAAGAAUAAGCACCGGCUAACUAUGUG
rnacentral:rRNA from 1 species